AUACGGGAGGCAGCAGUGAGGAAUAUUGCGCAAUGGAGGCAACUCUGACGCAGCCAUGCCGCGUGCAGGAAGACGGUCCUAUGGAUUGUAAACUGCUUUUAUACGGGAAUAAUACUCGGUACGUGUACUGGGAUGAAUGUACCGUAAGAAUAAGGAUCGGCUAACUCCGUGCCAGCAGCCGCGGUAAUACGGAGGAUCCAAGCGUUAUCCGGAUUUAUUGGGUUUAAAGGGUGCGUAGGCGGAAUUGUAAGUCAGUGGUGAAAUCUUGCAGCUUAACUGUAAAAUUGCCGUUGAUACUGCUAUUCUUGAGUAUAGUUGAGGUAGGCGGAAUGUGUAAUGUAGCGGUGAAAUGCUUAGAUAUUACACAGAACACCGAUUGCGUAGGCAGCUUACUAAGCUAUAACUGACGCUGAGGCACGAAAGCGUGGGGAUCGAACAGGAUUAGAUACCCUGGU
rnacentral:rRNA from 1 species